rnacentral:rRNA from 1 species
UACAGAGGUCUCAAGCGUUGUUCGGAUUCAUUGGGCGUAAAGGGCUCGUAGGCGGUUUGUCGCGUCGGGAGUGAAAUCCACUGGCUUAACUGGUGGCUUGCUUUCGAUACGGGCAGACUGGAGGUAUGCAGGGGAGAACGGAAUUCCUGGUGUAGCGGUGAAAUGCGUAGAUAUCAGGAGGAACACCUGUGGUGUAGACGGCUUUCUGGACUAUGCUGACGCUGAGACACGAAAGCGUGGGUAGCAAACAGG